UUUGAGUUGUAAACACUAACCAACUCCGAUUUACCAAUUUGAACUUUCUCUCUCCUCUGUCACAACAAUGGCGACUACAGAAAUCGCAACCUUAGGGUUUCGAUUAACCCAAUUCCCACCUUUAUCUUCCAUGUCCAAUCGAAAUCCUAACAAUGCCGUCUCUUUCAAUUCGAUUCUCUCCAUUUGCAGAAACUUGAGCUUUCGCGUUUAUUCAUCAUCUAACAAACGAAUCAGGAGAACGAGGAAUUUUUGGUAAAUUUACCGAAGACGAGAAUCAGCUUGCUCUAGUUGGCAUUCAAGGACGAGAUCGCGCUGCCUCUCCUCAACCGCUUAAAGAAGUGGAACGUGCGGUUCAAGUUCUGGAAGAUGUUAAAUACUUAAAGAUGUUUCUGAUCCGCCCAAAACAUCUGAGCUUUUCCCCCCAGUGAAGAAAAGUAGAAAAUACAAUAAAAAUGGAAGAUUGGUUUUUGAUGCGUGUAUCUAAUUAGGUCACUCACUCACUCACUCACUCACUCAGACAUUUGUAUAGUUUCAUCAACAACCAGACAAUGUUGAGAUCUUUCAGUCUUCGUUCACUUGAUUGAAGUUGGUUUGAUAUCAUACAUCAGCACAGCUCAGUCACAACUCAAAGGUUAAUGGACUUGGACGACAAUACCAAUUAAGCAGUAAGUUUCAUCACCGUCUGCAGCUGGACCAGCUGUGAUGAAUAAGGGUUCAGGAGAUGUAUCAGGUCUUAAAAUCAGGUAUGAUGGAGGUCCCGCCGUCAUUUAGUUUGCAUGAUUCAGAUUAGUUUCUUUGUGCUUUUAGCUGCUGUAAUUAAAUUGAUAAUCAGGUAUAUGAUAGUAACCAGCUUUGUGUUCUUCGGUUUAUUGCAAUGUUAAAAUGUCAGAGGUGUAUAUUGUAGACUUGCAUUAUAUUUCAUUCUAAUGGUCCAAAUUACAUAGUUUGGUGAUUAGAUAAUUGUCUUUUUCUUAUAAUACUUAAACUAAUAAAUGAAGGCAAUAUUAUCUUAGUUUCCCUGUAUUACGUAUAAUUCCCUAUGAUUAGUGAGGUUAUUUAUUAGAUUAGCAUGCGGUGAUCUACUUAGAAUGUGCAGAUUCAGUCCAACCUUACAACAAAUUUCAGAAGCUCAAAAUGUGCAAAAUUCAGUUUUCACAAGUUGAAAUAGCACCUCGGGACAUUUUAGAUGGAUUUUUUGCUCCUACCAAAUAUCUCAAUGCAGAACUGUAUUAAAUGGUUUUAUUGCUUCAUAAUAUGCAUGGAAUACUGUAUGUAACUAUCCAGGAGGAUUUGCGCCCGCAUAUUACUCAUAUCUGAUUCUAUAUCCUUUACCCUUCUAAAAGCCAAAACAUGGCAAAUAAUAUUUCAAUUAAUGCCCACAAUGUCCCUAAAUUCCUUCUCCAAAAAAAUAGAAUUGAUGUUCAGUCUUCACAAUAAUGCGUUGACAGUUAUGCCCUUAUGGAUGACUCAGCUACUUUUCAAUCUAGCUGGCGUGUUUAUGUCAUUCACCUUCGUGAGAACGUGGGAUCGUCAUUUCUCUUAAAAUUCUUCAGAUCUUUCAAUCUUCCAGGAACUCUAAGAGAAGAGAUAAACGCCUUUAAUCAUCUUUAUAAAUGGCAUCUACAAGCUUCUCAAUGGCGUCUACAAGCUCCGUUAUUGAAUCGGUGAUCGGAGUUUCAUGUUAUCUAGCUUCGAGUUAUUCGCCAAUUCUCACUGUGACAACGUCAAUUGCGGUGAUCGUAGUGUUUGUGUUCAUUUUAUGGUAAAUGUAUGAACUGGAAAAUCUCUCUCUCUCUCUCUCUCUCCUUUUCAGUUUCGGAAAUUGUUUCGAUCUUGAUUAUUUUUUCUACACUAGCGUUUUUGAAUUUAAAUUUGAGUUUUGUUUUCUGAAUAAAUCUUGUUCUUGUUUGUAUUUGAGUGGAUUAAAAAUAUGAACUUUGAUUGUUAUAAUUAUGGAAUUGGUUGUGUUUGGAGUCUUUGGAUGAUGCUAGGAAAAUGGGAUAAAAUGUGAAAGAAUGUUGCUUGUAAUUGAUUAUGACGGCACAAUUUAUACGAUUUACAUUUGAGUUUGUAUCAUUGAAGCAGUUGACAGAAACAUCGAGUUCAACUUGCGCGUGCUUUGUAUCAAAAUUCAGACAUAUAUCUCUUGUAUGAUCCAUUUAGUGAUGUGGAUGCGCAUACUGCAACCAAUCUGUUCAAUGUAAACUUAAUGUUUUCUCUUUUUGGAUUUAAUUUCUCUUAUGUAGUAGUAGUACCGUUCUCUAAAAGAAGUGUAUCUUGAAUUGUACUAGCAAUAUAUGAAGGUAGCGGCUAUGAGGGAAGACGAUUUUUCUUGUGACCCAUCAAGUUGACUUCCUUCCCAAAUUCGACACAAUUUUGGUCAGUCGUAAUGUUAAAGAAAUUAUGGUUUGUAAAUUGUAAUUAUCCUCAAUAAAAUUAGCAAGGUUAUUUUUCUUCUUGCUCCAUUAUCUAUAGACGGACAAUUUGUCAUACUUUUAAGAGUUAUUCUUUGUGAACAUGUUGCGUCUGAGAAUAAGACUAAGAAAAUAUUUACUGCGUUUAAGAAUGAGUCUUUAUGAAUAUUUUUCCCUAGCUAGAACUAACUUCCAUGGUGUUUCUUGCUCUUCCAGCUUGUAUCCGAGGGAAAGAUCGUAAGAGCUUCUUACCAUGAGUUGCUUAUGACAAGUGAAGCAUUUCAAAACCUUGUCAAUAAAUAUGAUACUACUGCUUCUCAGAACUCCAAAGAAGUGUUACGUGAUACAGCUAAGACAGUAACAUCAAAGAUACUUCAGGAGGACACCAAAGAGAAUUUGAAUGUUAGUGAUCAAUUGAUUAAGCGAGAAGAAAGAGAAAUGGGAGAUGCUGGAAUCCAGCCUCACCUACAAUAUCUUAAAUAUGGAAAUGCUUUUCUAUACUUUCCACUAUCAAAUUUCAUGCAAUGUGUGUUUUUUCUGGGGCAGUUUGCCCAAAGUUGCUUGUUCGCUGCUAACCUUCAAGAAUCUAGCACCAUCAGCGAACCCAUCAUUAUUGUACUUUAAGGAGCUGGGAGUGGCUCGAUAUUCUUUCGGUUUGAAAGAACCUUUUUCUUAUAUCUUCUAAAUUUAAGGGCUUCAACAUCUAUCUUCUCCAAGUUGCUGGAAUCGCUUUUCAGGGCUCCAACGUCUUUCUAUGAUUCAACACCUAUGGGAAGAAUACUCAGUCGGGUUACCACUUGUUUAUUUGAAGAACUGUUGUAUCAUAUACUAUUCUGAUCACACCCUGGCUAUUAAGCGCAUUGGUUACACCCUGGGUAUUAUGGCUGGUUCAAAUUGUUCUGCCUCACUGAAAGAUACUCAGCAUUCAGUCCCUGGUGGAACAUUGGCUUCACAACUCACAACUCACAACUCACAACCACUGGUUUGUAUCUGAUCUCAGUUUUGAUAUUUGGGGCUUUUGCGACAAGAGAAAAGUUUCUAACGGACAUGUUUGUUAUUCUGAACUUUUGUGAGUUAUCCUGUUUAGUGUUUACAAAGAUAAUUGCCAACAACAAAACCCUAAGAAGUAAUAAUUUGACUAAGAAUUGGGUUCAUUCAAGGUUUUUUAUUAGAUGAAUGCAGUUUUGCUAUUUUGCGA